AUCCUCUCAGGGUAGCCCCUGGAGAGUUUUCAGUACUCUACCAACCCCGACUAUGGGAGGGAGAGUCAAGCAGCAGCAUACCCAUUCCAUUCCCAGCUUGGGCAGUGGCUAGCGAGUGGAAGGCAAUCUGCUACAAGU